rnacentral:rRNA from 1 species
AUACGUAGGUGGCAAGCGUUGUCCGGAAUUAUUGGGCGUAAAGCGCGCGCAGGUGGUUCCUUAAGUCUGAUGUGAAAGCCCCCGGCUCAACCGGGGAGGGUCAUUGGAAACUGGGGAACUUGAGUGCAGAAGAGGAUAGUGGAAUUCCAAGUGUAGCGGUGAAAUGCGUAGAGAUUUGGAGGAACACCAGUGGCGAAGGCGACUGUCUGGUCUGUAACUGACACUGAGGCGCGAAAGCGUGGGGAGCAAACAGGAUUAGAUACCCUGGUAGUCCACGCCGUAAGCGAUGAGUGCUAAGUGUUGGGGGGUUUCCGCCCCUCAGUGCUGCAGCUAACGCAUUAAGCACUCCGCCUGGGGAGUACGGUCGCAAGACUGAAACUCAAAGGAAUUGACGGGG